GAUGAACGCUGGCGGCGUGCCUAAUACAUGCAAGUCGAGCGAAUGGAUUAAGAGCUUGCUCUUAUGAAGUUAGCGGCGGACGGGUGAGUAACACGUGGGCAACCUGCCCAUAAGACUGGGAUAACUCCGGGAAACCGGGGCUAAUACCGGAUAACAUUUUGAACCGCAUGGUUCGAAAUUGAAAGGCGGCUUCGGCUGUCACUUAUGGAUGGACCCGCGUCGCAUUAGCUAGUUGGUGAGGUAACGGCUCACCAAGGCAACGAUGCGUAGCCGACCUUGGAGGGUGAUCGGCAACACGGGGACUGGGACACGGCCCAGACUCCUACGGGAGGCAGCAGUAGGGAAUCUGCCGCAAUGGACGAAAGCCUGACGGAGCAACGCCGCGUGAGUGAUGAAGGCUUUCGGGUCGUAAAACUCUGUUGUUAGGGAAGAACAAGUGCUAGUUGAAUAAGCUGGCACCUUGACGGUACCUAACCAGAAAGCCACGGCUAACUACGUGCCAGCAGCCGCGGUAA
rnacentral:rRNA from 1 species